rnacentral:sRNA from 1 species
AUUCACAUUCUUAAAUAUCUUCUCGUCCCUUACUUUUCAAAUAUACCAAAUUAUCAAUUGAUAU